UAGCAGUUCUAGGAGUUCGUCCAUCCCAGCUCUCCAAAACCUUAGUUCUGUAGAUGAACCUCAUCCAAUCUUUGUACCAGACAUCAUCCCCAGCUCUCUGACUCCAGAGGAACUUUCACUGAUUAGGGUUCAGUACGGGGUUCCUCCGGAGUAUGAGCUGGAGCUUCUUGGGCCGACUGGCCGGGCUAGUGCUCCUCUCCCUAGCUGCUUCUGUUUAUACCA
rnacentral:lncRNA from 1 species